UACGUAGGGUGCGAGCGUUGCCCGGAUUUAUUGGGCGUAAAGGGCGCGUAGGCGGCGGGGUAAGUCGGGUGUGAAAUCUCAGAGCUCAACUCUGAAACUGCACUCGAUACUGCUCUGCUUGAGGACUGGAGAGGAGACUGGAAUUCACGGUGUAGCAGUGAAAUGCGUAGAUAUCGGGAGGAACACCGGUGGCGAAGGCGGUUCUCUGGGCCUUACCUGACGCUGAGGAGCGAAAGCGUGGGGAGCGAACAGG
rnacentral:rRNA from 1 species